AGCGAACGCUGGCGGCAGGCCUAACACAUGCAAGUCGAACGAACCGUUCGGGGUUAGUGGCGGACGGGGGGGUAACACGGGGGAACGUGCCUGUAGGUUCGGAAUAACUCAGGGAAACUUGUGCUAAUACCGAAGGGGCCCUUCGGGGGAAUGAUUAAUCGCCGUUAGGGGGGCCCGGGUCUGAUUAGCUAGUUGGGUGAGGUAAUGGCUCACCACGGCGACGAUCCGUGGCUGGUGUGAGAGGAGGCUCCGCCACAUUGGGACUGCGACACGGCCCACACUCCUACGGGGAGCAGCAGUGUGGAAUCUUGCGCAAUGGGCGCAAGCCUGACGCAGCCAUGCCGCGUGAAUGAUGAAGGUCUUAGGAUUGUACAAUUCUUUCACCGGGGACGAUAAUGACGGUACCCGGUGAAGAAGCCCCGGCUAACUUCGUG
rnacentral:rRNA from 1 species